rnacentral:lncRNA from 1 species
AUUCCACCUGCAACUCAGAGCCUGCAACAGCUGGCUGGCCUUUAAUUUCCUGAAUUGGAAACAACCCUCGCUCAAGGAAUUCGGCCAUUAUGACAGAAUCUCGUGCUGUUGCCCAGGCUGGAGUACAAUGGUGUGAUCUCAGCUCACUGCAACCUCUGCCUCCGGAGUUCUCCUGCCUCAGACUCCCUAGUAGCUGGGACUGCAGGCACCCGCCACCAUGCCCAGG